AUUGAACGCUGGCGGAAUGCUUUACACAUGCAAGUCGAACGGUAGAGGGGGCAACCCCUCGAGAGUGGCGAACGGGUGAGUAAUAUAUCGGAACGUGCCCAGUCGUGGGGGAUAACGUAGCGAAAGUUACGCUAAUACCGCAUACGAUCUACGGAUGAAAGCGGGGGAUCGCAAGACCUCGCGCGAUUGGAGCGGCCGAUAUCAGAUUAGGUAGUUGGUGGGGUAAAGGCUCACCAAGCCAACGAUCUGUAGCUGGUCUGAGAGGACGACCAGCCACACUGGAACUGAGACACGGUCCAGACUCCUACGGGAAGCAGCAGUGGGGAAUUUUGGACAAUGGACGCAAGUCUGAUCCAGCCAUUCCGCGUGCAGGAUGAAGGCCCUCGGGUUGUAAACUGCUUUUGUACGGAACGAAAAGGUCUCUCUUAAUACGGGGGGCUCAUGACGGUACCGUAAGAAUAAGCACCGGCUAACUACGUG
rnacentral:rRNA from 1 species